GCCGGGCUGACCCUCAUCGGUAUGGGGUGCAGACUUCAAAUCUGUAGGGGAUCAAAAGUCCCAGGUGUUCGACUCACCCUGACCGGC
rnacentral:tRNA from 1 species